rnacentral:rRNA from 1 species
UACGUAGGGUGCGAGCGUUGUCCGGAAUUACUGGGCGUAAAGCGCUCGUAGGUGGUUUGUCGCGUUGUCCGUGAAAACUCACAACUCAAUUGUGGGCGUGCGGGCGAUACGGGCAGACUGGAGUACUGCAGGGGAGACUGGAAUUCCUGGUGUAGCGGUGGAAUGCGCAGAUAUCAGGAGGAACACCGGUGGCGAAGGCGGCAUCCUGGACCGGCAUUGACGCUGAGGCGCGAAAGCCAGGGGAGCAAACGGG